rnacentral:rRNA from 1 species
UGGGGAAUUUUGCACAAUGGGGGAAACCCUGACGCAGCGACGCCGCGUGAUUUAGAAGGCCUUCGGGUUGUAAAAAUCUUUUCUAUGGGAAGAAAAUGACAGUACCAUAGGAAUAAGGACCGGCUAAUUACGUGCCAGCAGCCGCGGUAAUACGUAAGGUCCGAGCGUUGUCCGGAAUCAUUGGGCGUAAAGGGUACGUAGGCGGGUAAGCAAGUUAGAAGUGAAAUCCUAUAGCUCAACUAUAGUAAGCUUUUAAAACUGCUCAUCUUGAGGUAUGGAAGGGAAAGUGGAAUUCCUAGUGUAGCGGUGAAAUGCGCAGAUAUUAGGAGGAAUACCGGUGGCGAAGGCGACUUUCUGGCCAUAACCUGACGCUGAGGUACGAAAGCGUGGGUAGCAAACAGG